rfam:Synechococcus phage S-MbCM7, complete genome.
GCGAGUGUAGUUCAGUGGUAGAACGUUAGCCUUCCAAGCUAAAUGUCGUCGGUUCAAGUCCGAUCUCUCGCU